rnacentral:rRNA from 2 species
UUCAGACAUAAAAGGUGGCUUCGGCUACCACUUACAGAUGGACCCGCGGCGCAUUAGCUAGUUGGUGAGGUAACGGCUCACCAAGGCAACGAUGCGUAGCCGACCUGAGAGGGUGAUCGGCCACACUGGGACUGAGACACGGCCCAGACUCCUACGGGAGGCAGCAGUAGGGAAUCUUCCGCAAUGGACGAAAGUCUGACGGAGCAACGCCGCGUGAGUGAUGAAGGUUUUCGGAUCGUAAAGCUCUGUUGUUAGGGAAGAACAAGUGCCGUUCAAAUAGGGCGGCACCUUGACGGUACCUAACCAGAAAGCCACGGCUAACUACGUGCCAGCAGCCGCGGUAAUACGUAGGUGGCAAGCGUUGUCCGGAAUUAUUGGGCGUAAAGGGCUCGCAGGCGGUUUCUUAAGUCUGAUGUGAAAGCCCCCGGCUCAACCGGGGAGGGUCAUUGGAAACUGGGGAACUUGAGUGCAGAAGAGGAGAGUGGAAUUCCACGUGUAGCGGUGAAAUGCGUAGAGAUGUGGAGGAACACCAGUGGCGAAGGCGACUCUCUGGUCUGUAACUGACGCUGAGGAGCGAAAGCGUGGGGAGCGAACAGGAUUAGAUACCCUGGUAGUCCACGCCGUAAACGAUGAGUGCUAAGUGU